rnacentral:rRNA from 1 species
CUACGGGGGGCAGCAGUGGGGAAUCUUGGACAAUGGGCGCAAGCCUGAUCCAGCCAUGCCGCGUGAGUGAAGAAGGCCUUAGGGUCGUAAAGCUCUUUCGCCAGAGAUGAUAAUGACAGUAUCUGGUAAAGAAACCCCGGCUAACUCCGUGCCAGCAGCCGCGGUAAUACGGAGGGGGUUAGCGUUGUUCGGAAUUACUGGGCGUAAAGCGCGCGUAGGCGGAUUAGUCAGUCAGAGGUGAAAUCCCAGGGCUCAACCCUGGAACUGCCUUUGAUACUGCUAGUCUUGAGUUCGAGAGAGGUGAGUGGAAUUCCGAGUGUAGAGGUGAAAUUCGUAGAUAUUCGGAGGAACACCAGUGGCGAAGGCGGCUCACUGGCUCGAUACUGACGCUGAGGUGCGAAAGUGUGGGGAGCAAACAGGAUUAGAUACCCGGGUAGUC